GAAAAUUCUGAGACCACCUAAGUAGUUUGACCAUCUCUUCUCUGAGGACAAAAAAGAGAAGGCCCUCGAGUGGCUCCCAUGAGUAUGAUGAAUGAAUAUAAAGGUAAAACUACUUCUGGCACACUCGAAAGUUAACAUGACAUCAGAAGCACAAUAGGACCAGAAGAAAAGAGGACUGGAAAGCCAUGCAAAUUCUCCAGCCAUAAAAAUGAACAAGGAAGUGAAGUGCGGAGGAGAUGCUGGUAUCACAUGUGUUCUGAAUUGAGAGCAAAGGAAGUGGGGUGCUUAUUCCAAGGAGGAAGCACGUGAGAAAUCAUGCGGACCAGGUCAAGACAACAGCAGGACAGAGCAGUCCAGUCCAGGCAGAAAAUACAAAGAGAUGAAAAAAAAUAAACAGAAGAGCUGGUG